rnacentral:rRNA from 1 species
UGCAGCAACGCCGCGUGAGGGACGACGGCCUUCGGGUUGUAAACCUCUUUUAGCAGGGAAGAAGCGAAAGUGACGGUACCUGCAGAAAAAGCACCGGCUAACUACGUGCCAGCAGCCGCGGUAAUACGUAGGGUGCAAGCGUUAUCCGGAAUUAUUGGGCGUAAAGAGCUCGUAGGCGGUUUGUCGCGUCUGCUGUGAAAACCCGAGGCUCAACCUCGGGCCUGCAGUGGGUACGGGCAGACUAGAGUGCGGUAGGGGAGAUUGGAAUUCCUGGUGUAGCGGUGGAAUGCGCAGAUAUCAGGAGGAACACCGAUGGCGAAGGCAGAUCUCUGGGCCGUAACUGACGCUGAGGAGCGAAAGGGUGGGGAGCAAACAGGCUUAGAUACCCUGGUAGUCCACCCCGUAAACGUUGGGAACUAGUUGUGGGGUCCAUUCCACGGAUUCCGUGACGCAGCUAACGCAUUAAGUUCCCCGCCUGGGGAGUACGGCCGCAAGGCUAAAACUCAAAGGAAUUGACGGGGACCCGCACAAGCGGCGGAGCAUGCGGAUUAAUUCGAUGCAACGCGAAGAACCUUACCAAGGCUUGACAUAUACGAGAACGCUGCAGAAAUGUGGAACUCUUUG